rnacentral:rRNA from 1 species
GACAGAGGGGGCAAGCGUUGCUCGGAAUUACUGGGCGUAAAGGGCGCGUAGGCGGGAUGGCAAGUCGGUCGUGAAAUCCUUCGGCUCAACCGAAGAACGUCGAUCGAUACUGCUGUUCUUGAGGAUUGCAGAGGAGACUGGAAUUCCCGGUGUAGCGGUGAAAUGUGUAGAGAUCGGGAGGAACACCGGUGGCGAAGGCGGGUCUCUGGGCAAUUCCUGACGCUGAGGCGCGAAAGCGUGGGGAGCAAACGGG